GACGAACGCUGGCGGCGUGCUUAACACAUGCAGGUCGAACGGAAAGGCCCUGCUUUUGUGGGGUGCUCGAGUGGCGAACGGGUGAGUAACACGUGAGUAACCUGCCCUUGACUUUGGGAUAACUUCAGGAAACUGGGGCUAAUACCGGAUAGGAGCUCCUGCUGCAUGGUGGGGGUUGGAAAGUUUCGGCGGUUGGGGAUGGACUCGCGGCUUAUCAGCUUGUUGGUGGGGUAGUGGCUUACCAAGGCUUUGACGGGUAGCCGGCCUGAGAGGGUGACCGGCCACAUUGGGACUGAGAUACGGCCCAGACUCCUACGGGAGGCAGCAGUGGGGAAUAUUGCACAAUGGGCGGAAGCCCGAUGCAGCAACGCCGCGUGCGGGAUGACGGCCUUCGGGUUGUAAACCGCUUUCGCCUGUGACGAAGCGUGAGUGACGGUAAUGGGUAAAGAAGCACCGGCUAACUACGUG
rnacentral:rRNA from 1 species